rnacentral:tRNA from 1 species
GCGCGGCGGGGCUUCCCGGAGCGUGGGUUCAGACGAGGGCGAACAUCGUGCCAUCGCCGACGUCCUAUGAGCGUUCGACUGUUAAUCGAAUGGUCGCCGGUUCGAAUCCGGCGGCAGCGCG